UCAUUAUUUCCUCUCCUCUCCUUCCUUUCCUCUAUUACCACUAGGUUUCUUCCGUCUCCUUUCCUUUCCUCUAUCGCCGCUAGGUUUCCUCUCUCCCACCCCUUCUUUCCUUUCCUAUUUGCAGCACACCAGGUUCUUCCCUCUUUGCAGUAAGCAAGGAGUUCAAAGGUAACCUUAUAUCUUAUUUCUUCCCUCUCCGUAGCACCGUGCGUAACCUUGCCAAGGGAUGAGCGGAUGCUUUAGGUGCGGCCACACUCAAGGGGGUCACAGCCUCUCCAGACCACUAGUUCACUAGCGAUCGAUUUGUGAACGGUUGCACGCGAGGGGGUCGAUGCCUCACGAGGUAGCCCGUUCACAAACGGUUGCACACGAGGGGGUCUAAGCAGUGGCCUGUAGCGAGGCAACGACAUCGUUAUCUACUUCUGAAACUCUCAUGUUUUCCAUCUCCAUAUACUAGUAAGCUUUUCAAGAAGAUGGAAUUGCACAAGCUAGCAGAUAUGCUACUGAGGAUUCAAUUGAGUCAUGGCUUAAUGAAUUACUUUGCUUGGAUGUUGCAAGUUACAUUCCAAAUAUCACUAUGUUAGUAUUCUUGAUGAAAAGGAAAUAAUUGUUUUUUCAGGUCAUUCUCUAAAUGAUCUUUUAUUUGUCUAGACUUCCACAUCCAAGUGAAUGUGCCUUUACUAUGUCAACCGAGAUAUACUUUUCUAAUAUCACAAGGAGAGUGAGAUAUGUUUAUAGGUACUUUUAUUUGGUUAAAUUUGUGCAAUUUUUUCAUUUAUAUUACAGGGCAUGAUUUCCCUUUAUGUUGCUUCUCACUACAAAAAGUCACCUAAUGACUUACAAGUUACAAUUGAUGGCUGAUGCUCCAUCCCAUUACUUGUUUGUGUUACUUUGUAUUUUGUUUCUUAGCUGUACCAUAAUUAUUUAUAGCAGCCUAGCAUUUUAUCUAUUUGCUAAAUCUCUCUAUAAAUAUUGCAGGCCCUAUUGAUGAAUAAAAAAAAAAUACUCUUCUAGAUAUUUUGUGUUGUUCAGGUUUGUCUCUCCAUCGUGGAAUUCAAUGAUAUUUUUUCUCCUCAUAGAGAGAAGACUACACUUGAGCAUGAGCCUAGCUUUUAACAGUAAGCGAAGACUGCUAUUAGGUGACAGGUACUUGGAUUUUUGUGAAUCAAUAUAAUGGUUAAGAUGGUUGAAGAUGAUUCAUCUAGUCGAAUUUUUAUUUUAGAAGACUUUGUUAGUAUUAAAAUUUAAUUUAAUAUUUUGAAUGUAUGUGUAGGUUGUUUUAGAUGUAAAAGACAUAUCAUUAGUACUGUAUUUGUAAAUUUGACUCAAAUGAUUAUUGAAUGAAUAAACAUAUCUAUUAGCCCUUUAAAUUUUAUUUUGUAAUUUUUUCUUUAUAUUCUAAAUGGUGGAUGAAUUAUGAUGAUGUGUAAAUAUUGAAUUCAAGUUAUAUAUUCUAAAUAAAUAUUAAUGAUAAAUUUUAAUAUAUUUAUAAAUUAUUAUAAUGAUAUUUAUUAAUGUCAUUAUAAAUUAGUUAAGGUGACAUUUAUAAAUGUCCUUAAAAUAUAAUUUUUCCUGACAUUUUAGAUUGUUGUAAUAUCACUGUAUUAUGACACUUUUGAAGUUAGCAUUGAUAUUGUAUAAUGACAUUAUAAAAUGUCAGGAAUACGAGGAAGGUCUAAGACGACAUCACUUUAUAGGGUGUUUUUCAGUGAUGCCACUAAAACUUAAGUGUCACCAAAAAUAUACUAUAAGGACAUUUAUGUGUGUCAUUAUAGACCUUUUUUCUUGUAGUGACGCUAAGCAGGUGGAACUCUGUCUUUCCAUUGGCGACAAUCUCGGCUUGCUCCUUCUUGCUCCACUGAUGCUCUUCUUAGUCUUUGGGAACUUCAAAAUCAUAUUUCAUAAUUAGUAAAAUAU